rnacentral:lncRNA from 1 species
AUCUUGUUAGUGCUGGGAUCAAACCCAGGGCCUCCCACGAGCCAGGCAAAUGCUCUACCACUGAGCUCCACCCACGGGUCCUGGGUGUGUCUGGGUCUGGGUAGCCCGUUUUGAAAAGCAAAUCUACCUGAAAGGAAUACAGAACUCAAAGUAAGUAAAUGAGUUCUAGAGCUGACCAGAUGUUUCUGUCUACAUCUGGGAAUGCCUAUUUCUAUGGAAGACAUUCUUUUUUAGGGGACUGCUUGGAAAUGACUUGAGGAAAAUAACAAGGAAUAAGCUACUUUUUGUAGAUGAGGACAAACUUUCCAAGACAAUUUCGACAAAUAAAAAAGCAGGGUGUGGGCCAAGUGCCUCACAGAUUCAUCUUUAGGAAACAACAGCCAGGGCUAGAACAUAUUCAUUUUGGCUGUAAGCAGGUUAGACAGCCCUGGAAGGAGAGAGGAGCUGGCAGAAUCUGAGACUGAGUGGGAAGAUCUUCUCAUCACAUUUCUUUUUCAACUCUUGAAUGCUGACCUUAGGUGCCUGUGUACCAGGUGGAGCACUUGCCUAGCAUAUGGGGGGCCCUGGGUUCAAUCCCAAGUAUUACUAAAACAAACAAGCAAAAAGGAUAGUUGGGGUCCUACUCACAUGCUAGGGAUCCAGCUGUGGAGUGCUCUACCUCUGAGCUACAUCCCUAAUCCUUUUUUAAAUUUUAUUUUGAGGCAGGGUCUCACUAAGUUGCCCAGGCUGGUUGGUCUCAAGUUUGGGGUCCUCCUUCCUCAGCCUCCCGAGUCUCUGGGAUUUCCUCAGUCUCCUGAGUCAGUGGGAUUAAGGGCUGCUUGGUGCAGUUGGGUUUUGUUUGUUUGGGGUACUAGGGAUUGAAUCCAGGGCUUCAGACAUGCUAAGCACACACUGUACCACUGAGCUAUAGCCACAGCUGGAGUAGUUGGGUUUUAAAAGUUCAUUGGUCCUGAUGUUGAAACCACAGCUGCCCCUUCCUCUAGCUCAAACCCCAGUGUCAUUCUGUGAUGCUGACCACCAUGGGUCAGGCAGCAAUGGUCACCACCUGAGGACCGAGGUAUCAGGAGAACCAGAACAAGAAGCAUCUAACUAAAGUCACCAACCCCAGGUGCUGUGUGAGCCAACCCCAGCAGAGGGCAGCCUGUGGCCACCCUUGAGGCCAUCCUUGUGGCCGAAGCUCUGAGGUUGGGUGUUGAACCAGAUAGUUAAUGGGUCCCAAUUGAGAAUUUUUUUCAAAUGUGAAGACCACUCCGUGAAAAUAAUCUGCAGAAACAUUCCAGCAUCUCCUUUGUCUUAGAGCAGCUGAGAAAAUGGUAGUGGAAAUGGAACCAAAUGGAGGUUAUAUGAAGAUUCAAAUUCAAGGGCUAAAGGGCACAGCCAAUAGAAGGUCACUGGCUGAGCCAAUAGCCUUGGUACUUUUUCAAUACCCAUUUAGUGUGGAUUAUAACCUACAGCCUUAACACUUUUCCAAUGUUUAACAUGGAUUUUGAUCAGUGCCUCUACCCAGAAGCCAUCUAAGCUCGGAGACUAGUACAUUCAAGUGGAAAACCUGGUAUCAGAUUGUGAGAGUUCUCUUUUCUUCUCACUUUAAUAAGUAAAUCCUACUCCUUUCACUUUUGCCACCCAUGGAUUACAUUCUUCGAAUUUGUGAGACAAGAACCCAGACAGAAACUGGAGGGAAGUUGCUGGGGUCUGCAG